UACGUAGGGGGCAAGCGUUGUCCGGAUUUAUUGGGCGUAAAGAGCGUGUAGGCGGCCAGGUAGGUCCGCUGUGAAAACUCGAGGCUCAACCUCGAGAUGUCGGCGGAAACCAUCUGGCUAGAGUCCGGAAGAGGAGAGUGGAAUUCCUGGUGUAGCGGUGAAAUGCGCAGAUAUCAGGAAGAACACCCGUGGCGAAGGCGGCUCUCUGGGACGGUACUGACGCUGAGACGCAAAAGCGUGGGGAGCGAACAGG
rnacentral:rRNA from 1 species